rnacentral:rRNA from 1 species
UACGUAGGGCGCAAGCGUUGUCCGGAAUUAUUGGGCGUAAAGAGCGCGUAGGCGGUCCGAUAAGUCGGCUGUGAAAGUCAAGGGCUCAACCCUUGAAAGCCGGCCGAUACUGUCGGACUAGAGUCCGGAAGAGGCGAGUGGAAUUCCCGGUGUAGCGGUGAAAUGCGCAGAUGUCGGGAGGAACACCAAUGGCGAAGGCAGCUCGCUGGGACGGUACUGACGCUGAGGCGCGAAAGCUAGGGGAGCAAACAGG